rnacentral:rRNA from 1 species
UACGGAGGGUGCAAGCGUUAUCCGGAUUCACUGGGUUUAAAGGGUGCGUAGGUGGGUUGGUAAGUCAGUGGUGAAAUCUCCAGGCUUAACUUGGAAACUGCCAUUGAUACUAUCAAUCUUGAAUACCGUGGAGGUCAGCGGAAUAUGUCAUGUAGCGGUGAAAUGCUUAGAUAUGACAUAGAACACCAAUUGCGAAGGCAGCCGGCUACACGAAUAUUGACACUGAUGCACGAAAGCGUGGGGAGCAAACAGG